ACGAACGCUGGCGGCGUGCCUAAUACAUGCAAGUCGAACGAAACUUUCUUACACCGAAUGCUUGCAUUCACCGUAAGAAGUUGAGUGGCGGACGGGUGAGUAACACGUGGGUAACCUGCCUAAAAGAAGGGGAUAACACUUGGAAACAGGUGCUAAUACCGUAUAUCUCUAAGGAUCGCAUGAUCCUUAGAUGAAAGAUGGUUCUGCUAUCGCUUUUAGAUGGACCCGCGGCGUAUUAACUAGUUGGUGGGGUAACGGCCUACCAAGGUGAUGAUACGUAGCCGAACUGAGAGGUUGAUCGGCCACAUUGGGACUGAGACACGGCCCAAACUCCUACGGGAGGCAGCAGUAGGGAAUCUUCCACAAUGGACGCAAGUCUGAUGGAGCAACGCCGCGUGAGUGAAGAAGGUCUUCGGAUCGUAAAACUCUGUUGUUAGAGAAGAACACGAGUGAGAGUAACUGUGCAUUCGAUGACGGUAUCUAACCAGCAAGUCACGGCUAACUACGUGCCAGCAGCCGCGGUAAUACGUAGGUGGCAAGCGUUGUCCGGAUUUAUUGGGCGUAAAGGGAACGCAGGCGGUCUUUUAAGUCUGAUGUGAAAGCCUUCGGCUUAACCGGAGUAGUGCAUUGGAAACUGGAAGACUUGAGUGCAGAAGAGGAGAGUGGAACUCCAUGUGUAGCGGUGAAAUGCGUAGAUAUAUGGAAGAACACCAGUGGCGAAAGCGGCUCUCUGGUCUGUAACUGACGCUGAGGUUCGAAAGCGUGGGUAGCAAACAGGAUUAGAUACCCUGGUAGUCCACGCCGUAAACGAUGAAUGCUAGGUGUUGGAGGGUUUCCGCCCUUCAGUGCCGCAGCUAACGCAAUAAGCAUUCCGCCUGGGGAGUACGACCGCAAGGUUGAAACUCAAAGGAAUUGACGGGGGCCCGCACAAGCGGUGGAGCAUGUGGUUUAAUUCGAAGCAACGCGAAGAACCUUACCAGGUCUUGACAUCCUUUGACCACCUAAGAGAUUAGGCUUUCCCUUCGGGGACAAAGUGACAGGUGGUGCAUGGCUGUCGUCAGCUCGUGUCGUGAGAUGUUGGGUUAAGUCCCGCAACGAGCGCAACCCUUAUUGUUAGUUGCCAUCAUUUAGUUGGGCACUCUAGCAAGACUGCCGGUGACAAACCGGAGGAAGGUGGGGAUGACGUCAAAUCAUCAUGCCCCUUAUGACCUGGGCUACACACGUGCUACAAUGGACGGUACAACGAGUCGCGAGACCGCGAGGUUUAGCUAAUCUCUUAAAGCCGUUCUCAGUUCGGAUUGUAGGCUGCAACUCGCCUACAUGAAGUCGGAAUCGCUAGUAAUCGCGAAUCAGCAUGUCGCGGUGAAUACGUUCCCGGGCCUUGUACACACCGCCCGUCACACCAUGAGAGUUUGUAACACCCAAAGCCGGUGGGGUAACCGCAAGGAGCCAGCCGUCUAAGGUGGGACAGAUGAUUGGGGUG
rnacentral:rRNA from 1 species